rnacentral:rRNA from 1 species
GCCAGCAGUCGUAUCACCUUGCAACUCACAACUCAUAACUGACAACCCACUGAAGCUAAGCAGGUGUGAGCCUGUUCAGUACAUGGAUAGGAGACCUCCUGGGAAAAACUAAGGUUGCUGCUGAAA